AAAGCCUUGAGUGGCAGCCUAGCCAGCAGCGAUGGGAUGGAGGGGCUUUUAUCCCGCGGCCCACAGAGGCGGAAGUGGCCUGUUUGUUUAGUCCGCAACGGAAUAAUGCAGUUUAGUGGUUCAAAAAAAAUUCCAUUCCCCUGACACAAGUCGGAGGCCCAAAGAUGCGGUAUUUCUCGUGGGGACAACGGUGGGUUAAAUCAUGGGGAACGGGAUUCAGAAACGGAGUGUGCCUGGCUGGCCCGGCGCUUCCUCAGCGCCACAAACGCACGGACUUACUUUCAUUCGCACAGAGAAUUCCCCCAGUUCAGGGGCUACUUGGGUGGCGAUGCAUCCUGUUCCUUCAGGGAAAAGCUCUCCAAGAAUAUCCUUGAUUGACAACAGCCAGCCACGGGUUAAAAGGGCCCUUUAAGAUUCAAGGAGAAUUUCAUGUGGGAUAACAGAUUGAAUGCUGGAUGGAACCCCAGUGGCUGGUUAGUCCAGCCGCAUAACAUUACAGAUGUGCAAACUGAGGCCCAGGGAACUUGGCCAGCAUCGUAGCAUUAACAAGUGACUGAGAAUGGGAUUCCAGCCCAAGGCUUUCCAACGGCCACUUCCAGCACCACGCUGUACAGAGCUGGAGGGAACCUUGCAGACCACCAAGUCCAUCCUCUCACUUUUGCAGAUGAGGAAACUGAGGCCUCAGAGAGGUUAAGUGACUUGCCCGGGGUCACGUAGCUAGGAUGUGUGUGAAGUAGGAUUGGAACUCCGGUCUUGCUGACUCCUGUCUAAUAGCUUGUCCUGGGUUGCAGAGGGCGGUUAAUUAUGAACCCAAGAGCACUCCAGAGAACCUCAGCACCCCCCCCCCCAUUCUGGGGCCGUUGCUGUCUCCUUGGAGGGAGGAGGGCACCUUGCUGAAUGACUGCCUCGUGUUAGGGUCACUGCAGAAGGCCCAGCCUGGGUCCUGGCCCGAGGGGGUGCCCGUGGGAUGCAGCUUGGGGCUGGUGGGGAGGUGUCAUCGCUGCCUGGACUUGUACGUGACUGAGCACAUUUGAGGAUGGCUUGGGAGCCAGGCGCUCCCAGGCCACUGUUCUCUGCCGGGACAAUGAAGCAAUUACUAGAAAAAUGGAGCAGUCUCCAGAGGAGAGGUUAAGGGCCCCAAGCCCGGAUUCCUUUGAACCGCCUUGGAAUGGCCGUGUCUUCUGUCCCCGGUCUUAAUCAAGUUAUCGUCUCCAGCCAGUGUUUCCUGGACCCUGGCCCUCCUAUGAAUGAGGACAAAAUAUGCGGACAAAUUUCUAGCAGCAGGACGUUGGUGCUCUCCCGUGUGGCGGGAUGAAAAGCACCUGUAACCUCUGCCUGGCCUGCCUGGCCUGCCUGGCCCGGCCUGCUGAGAGCUCCUCCUGGGGGCUCCCUGCUGCUGCUGAGGGGGAAGGGCCCCAAGGGCUGAGGAGGCCACUCUUCUGUGUAGCCAUAAUGCCAGAGAAUACAAUGUGCUGGGCUCUGAAUAGCUUCUGACUGUGGUCCCCAAGCCCUAUUGAUGGCAGGUCUGCCUGUCCGAGGGAAAGGUCCAGAACCAGGAGGAGGGGCUGGCUCCCCAGGCGGCAGCCACAUGGAAGCCUUCCCUGAUUCUUAUGCAUUGCUGGGAUCUUGGGAACAAUGAGCAUUCCGGCUGCUCCCCCUGCAUCCCGGAGAAAGUCGAGGCCCCUCUGGGCCUCGGUGUCCUCAUUUGAAAAAUGAGGGGAUAGAAUGAAAUGGCUUCUACCAUCCUUUCUAGCUUGAGAUUGAUGAUGAUCCUCCGACCCUUCAGAACCUCGGUUUCAUCAUCUGUCAAAUAGGGAUAAUGAUCCUUCUAAGACCAGCCUUCUGGGAAAACCCUUUAAUAAAAUUAAAGCUCUCUGUGAAUGGGAGGGUGAUGAUGAUGGGA